UGAUAUCUUCCCAAGGCCAUGUCGACAAAGCGAAACUAGAUGGUGGCGCCAUUGCCCCAGCCAGCCUUGGUGCUGGCACUUUGACCAACAAGGCCGUGUCUUGUUCUACCUGAUGACAUCACCUCUGGUAAUGGGUCUUCCUGCUUGUCUCCCAGAACUCUGUGUUCCAUUCCUUAACAGAAACUAAGCAAUAACAUAAGGAAGUCCACAUGUCAUUAACAUUCUGAGGAGAUGGAGUCACUCUUGUGAAUGAAACACCCAGCUCCAGCAAAAGCAAGAGGGGAAGCUGGCUGAAAUUUCUGUAUUUCCACUCAGUUUCUCCAACAAAACCUGCUGGUUGAAGGUCCUGCACUCGGUGGAUCAGCUGUCACCACCAAGACUGACAAACUGGCUCAUCUAGUCUUGUGGCCCGCACCCAGCAACUGACUCAGCACCAGAGGACAGCUUCACUUCCCUGAUUUCAUCUCCAACCCAACUGACCAGAACUCCCAACUCACUGGCCUUCCCCUACCCACCAAAUUAUCCUUAGAAACUCUGAUCCCCUAGUGCUCGGAAGACUGAUUUGAGUAAUCAUAAAACUCCAGUCCCCCACACGGCUGGCUCUGUGUGAAUUACUCUUUCUCUAUUGCAAUCUUCCUGUCUUGAUAAGUCAGCUCUGUUCAGGCCACAGGCAAGGUGAACCCUGGGCUGUUACACCCUGAUGGGGUUACCUUUGAGAAGAAAGCAUCUCCAGAACGCAAGAAACAGAAUCUUUCUUUUGCCUUUUCCAGCUGUCUUGGAGGGAGACUUUUACCAAAGCUCCAGGUCACUUUGCACACAGGGCUGCGCUUGGGGCAGAGCGGCUCUGACCAUAUAUUUAGGCCAAGCUGGGGCCUUCUAUUAAUACCACUGGCGAUUUGGAAGCAGACUCAUCAGGUUGGUGUAUGUGAUGAAUAGCCAUGGAUAUUUAUAUAUUUAUAUAUGCAUCACUUAACAAGGGGAAUAUGUUCUGAGAAAUACAUUAAGCAAGUUCAUCAUUGUGCAAACAUCAUGGAGUGUACUUACACAAACCAAUAUGGUGUAGCCUAUUAGACACCUGGACUGUCUGGUAUUGUCUAUUGCUCCUCCACUGCAAACCUGUACAGCAUGUUACUGUGUUGAAUACUGCAUGCAAUUGUAAUGCAAUGGUAAGUAUUAGCAUAUCUAAACAUGCCUAAACAUAGAAAAGGAACAGUAAAAAUGCAGGAUUACAAUCUCUUUGGACCCCUGUCAUAUAGACAGUCUGUUGUUGACUGAAAUGUACUUAUAGUUGUAUGGCGCUUGACUGUAUUUCCAUGAAA
rnacentral:lncRNA from 1 species